AAAAAGAACGAAAUACGUCAAAAUCUCAAAAUGGAUGCAGUUAGCAGUUAUCUUCUUCUUCUUUUGAGGGGGCAAAUGCAAAAAAAAUUUAUGGCUGCCGAUAAUCUUUGCAAUUGAACUGUCACAGAGAAACAGGGUGAAAUGUGACCGGGACUUGUCUGGCUGGACUUGCUUCUCACAGAGAAGCAGUCCAUUUACAAGGUGAAAUGUGAUUGGGACUUGUGUGGACUUGCUUGACGUUGUACCAUAGAUCACAGGUGUGUUUCACUCCUGAACUGCAGAUUGAAUUGCUCUUGUCAAAAUUGAUUUACCAGGUGAAACGUGAUUGGGACUUGUGUGGACUUGCUUGACGUUGUACUAUAGAUCACAGGCGUGUUUCACUCCUGAGCUGCAGAUUGAAUUGCUCUUGCCAAAAUUUUGUUGGAUGCAUUUGUGUCACCUCCACAGUGAUUCUGUUGGCCAGGGACAGCAAUGAUAUUCUUUAUGCUAGAUGUGUAGGAUUCCCAGCUGUGGUGUUCUACCGUUCAUGUGGUGGAAGCAACAUUUUGAAAUAAAAAUUAAUUUUAAUAA